rnacentral:rRNA from 1 species
UACAGAGGUCUCAAGCGUUGUUCGGAUUCAUUGGGCGUAAAGGGUGCGUAGGCGGCGGGGUAAGUCGGAUGUGAAAUCCCGGGGCUCAACCCCGGAACUGCAUUCGAUACUGCCUUGCUAGAGUACUGGAGAGGAGACUGGAAUUUACGGUGUGGCAGUGAAAUGCGUAGAUAUCGUAAGGAAGACCAGUGGCGAAGGCGAGUCUCUGGACAGUUACUGACGCUGAGGCACGAAGGCCAGGGGAGCAAACGGG